rnacentral:rRNA from 1 species
CCUACGGGCGGCAGCAGUGAGGAAUAUUGGUCAAUGGGCGGAAGCCUGAACCAGCCAAGUCGCGUGCAGGCUGACGGCCCUAUGGAUUGUAACCUGCUUUUGUACGGGAAUAACGCGCCUUACGUGUGGGGCUUUUCGUGUACCGUAUGAAUAAGGACCGGCUACUUCCGUGCCAGCAGCCGCGGUAAUACUGAGGGUCCGGGCGUUAUCCGGAUUUAUUGGGUUUAAAGGGAGCGUAGGCGGAAGGUCAAGUCCGCUGUUAAAUUGAGGGGCUCAACCUGGCAUUGCAGUGCAAACUGGUGUGCGUGAGUCCGCGGAAAGCAGGCGGAAUUCGUCGGGUAGCGGUGAAAUGCAUAGAUAUGACGAAGAACCCCGAUUGCGAAGGCAGCUUGCUGCAGCGGAACUGACGCUGAUGCUCGAAAGCGCGGGUAUCGAACAGGAUGAGAUACCCGUGUAGUC